rnacentral:rRNA from 1 species
AGAGUUUGAUCAUGGCUCAGAACGAACGCUGGCGGCGUGCUUAACACAUGCAAGUCGAGUGCGCGGUUGUAGCAAUACAACUGGCGCACGGCGCACGGGUGCGUAACACGUGGGCAAUCUGCCCUUCGAUGGGGAAUAACUCCGCGAAAGCGGAGCUAAUUCCGCAUAACAUUCCUUGGACCUCGGUUCGAGGACUCAAAGCCGUAAGGCGUCGAAGGAGGAGCCCGCGCACGAUUAGCUAGUUGGUAGGGUAACGGCCUACCAAGGCUUUGAUCGUUAGCUGGUCUGAGAGGAUGGCCAGCCACACUGGAACUGAGACACGGUCCAGACUCCUACGGGAGGCAGCAGUGGGGAAUCUUGCGCAAUGGGCGAAAGCCUGACGCAGCGACGCCGCGUGGGGGAUGAAGCUUCUCGGAGUGUAAACCCCUUUCGACCGGGACGAAUGCCCGCAAGGGAGUGACGGUACCGGUAGAAGAAGCCCCGGCUAACUACGUGCCAGCAGCCGCGGUAAGACGUAGGGGGCCAGCGUUGUUCGGAAUUACUGGGUGUAAAGGGUUCGUAGGCGGUGUGGCAAGUCGGGAGUGAAAUUUCUGGGCUUAACUCAGAACCUGCUUCCGAAACUGCUGUGCUCGAGUGUGGGAGAGGCGCGUGGAAUUGCAGGUGUAGCGGUGAAAUGCGUAGAUAUCUGCAGGAACACCCGUGGCGAAAGCGGCGCGCUGGACCACUACUGACGCUGAGGAACGAAAGCUAGGGGAGCAAACAGGAUUAGAUACCCUAGUAGUCC